UUGCUCCAAGUGACAAAAGGUAGAGGUGAUCUUAAAUCCAUGUUCACUUCUUUACUCUGACUGUGCUGUGAUAUUCAUGACUAAUCUCUUUUUACAGAUAACAGUUUCUAAGCCACAGCUUGGCCUUCCUCUGCCCUCCUCUAUGCAUCCUUCAAGCUUAGGUGUCCACAGCUUGUAGACUUAUCAACAUCUACAAGUUAAACCUGCCUCAGUGCUGUUGAAGGAUCAAUUUCCCCUUCAUGUCUGCAUGCAACCACCUUCCCUCUCCAGCAGUGAUGGACUGCUGCUGACACAGGUUUUCCAACUGAGGUCCAGAAGUAAACAAAAAAAUACAACUUUGAUUUACUCUGCUUUACUGCUGAAGACCUCCAGCCAUCUUUACAAACCUGCAGCAGAUGGUGAGGAGGUAAAAGAGAGCUUUUGGACAAGCAGGUGGUGCAGUGGUUUACGCACAUGACCCAUGUAAGGAGGCCUUAGUCCUCAAUGCAGACAACAAGGGUUCGAAUCUGGACUGUGGUCCUUUCCCGCAUGUCUCCCCCCUCUCAUACCCCCUUUCCUGCAGCCUGAUGUUGGAAAAAUGCUCAGAGGUCUUGCAGCAGUGCUGGAAUGCCAGAGGAUGAGUGCAAAUGCAUGUGGAUGUUGCCAGGGGCUCCAGUGGAUGAUGGUUGUUGGGAGUGAACCUGGGACUGUGGGAUUUACUGCUGAACCCUCUGGAUGUGUCAUGGGCCUAUCAGUGACACCCCCAAGAAGGAGGGCGCACACUUGAGAACCUAAGGGAUACCUUAACCCACUUGAUGGCUAGUGAGUGCCUUAGGUUUUUGUUGGGAUAACACGAUCUUGUCCUACUCAACAGAUCUAAGUAAGAGAAACAACACAUUCAGAGUUAACCAAAGGCAA